CAGCAGUGGGGAAUAUUGCACAAUGGGCGCAAGCCUGAUGCAGCCAUGCCGCGUGUGUGAAGAAGGCCUUCGGGUUGUAAAGCACUUUCAGCGGGGAGGAAGGCGAUAAGGUUAAUAACCUUGUUGAUUGACGUUACCCGAAGAAGAAGCACCGGCUAACUCCGUGCCAGCAGCCGCGGUAAUACGGAGGGUGCAAGCGUUAAUCGGAAUUACUGGGCGUAAAGCGCACGCAGGCGGUCUGUCAAGUCGGAUGUGAAAUCCCCGG
rnacentral:rRNA from 1 species